AUGGACAGUGUGAAAUUGGUGGUGUAUGUGAUGUACAGUACAAAGAAGAAUCCAGCCCUGCAAAAAUUCUAAACGUUGGAACUAGAUCUGCCAUGCUUAAGCAGCUUCAUUCUAUUGAGAAAAAUCAGUCCAUUAAAAGAUCCAGACCUGAAGGGAAUGAAGAAUUAGGGAGAGGGCAGCGCCAGAAGUAUAGCAGAAUACUUUCUGAAUCAGAAAGCAGUGAAGAAUAUGAGUCGGUCAGUAAACAAGUUUCUGAAAAGAGCGUCAAAAGGAUAAGAGCCGCCAGAUCCUUUCUGCAGCAGUAUAAUCUUGAAAAAGUAAGAUUAUUUCAACGAAGUUACAUAUAUCAGGG